GGCUGAAAUAAGGCAGAAGAGGAGUAAGGCCCGGGAAGGAGUCUGCUGUGCCCCAGUGCUGGGCACAGCCUGCUCUGUCCUGCAAGGAGUGGCUAGUGACCCCAGGCUGGAACACGGGGCUAUAAAGACAAAUCUGCUCCAGGGAAUUGCAUUUUGGAGUGCCUGGGAGCGGUCACGUGCUGGGGAGUUGAAAGGGGUAUUGAUCAGGAUCUGUGAGCUGCAGACCCCAUGCCAAUCCAUAGCGUUUCUGGCAAUCAGCAUCGCCCAUGAAUUGCAGCUGUCUGUGCAGCUCCCGAAGAGAAAUCUUCAAAAAUGUACCCCCCUUAUCAAACACAUCAUCCGUUCAGGGGUAAGUCAAUAUCAUUUCUUUGUCAUUCCAUGAGCAAGGAUUAUGCAGGAGAAAGUUUUUGUUGUCCGUUGUAGCUGCUGCAGCGCCUACCUCCCCCCGCCCUUUUUUUUAAAGGAAGGAGAGCAAUUUUCUAGCCAUUGAAUGGUAAUGGUUUUCCAGAAAGGCCUCAAGCAUUUACGUGAAUCGGAACAACAAAUGCUGUUUCAAUAUUGUGGGGGAAUUUUAAGAGGAGGGGGACAUUCUUCUGUUGCUACACACAAAUAAUAAUAGUGAUAAUAGAGGGUUUCUUUUAACGACGGAGAAUUUUCAACCCUUUUCUCGGAGCCCCUUGGUGAUGAAGACACCGCGAGUGUCUGUGAUUACAGUUGCAGAUGGACGGUGGGUGCUCGUGGCGGAAAAGGAGCCUUUGGAAUUGUGGCUCUCUUUGAUAUCUCCAUUAGCUUCAAUUUUCUUCGGCCGGAAAGCUCGGGUUGGCUGGUUGGGUACAGGGAGAAGAAAACUAAAACCGAAGCCCAGCCCCGCUAACUCCCUUCGGCCUCUCAGCUCAGAAAUUUUCUGACACUUUUCAGCUUACAGUUGCACCAGAAAAAGAAAAAGAAAAAUAAAGUUUUUAAGGUGGUGAGGCGGAACCGAUCCCUUAUGUCUUCCUCCUCCUCUGCGUCGAUCGAGUUAAAAUCAAAAUCGAAAAUGUCAGGUUAGCAGAGCCGGCAGGGAACUGCCCUUAACUUUUUGUUUGACAAAGUACACUUCGCGCCGCGGUGGGGGAAGAGUUGGAGAUUGUCAGUGUUCUUCCCACACUCAGGAGGUCUCUUCGGAAAAGAAAAACGACGCUUCAGGGUCCCUGCCUGUCGGGGUUACGUUCUCUCGGAGCCCAAACCCAGUGGAUUCGAAGACAGGGAGCAAAGCUGCGGGUGACCCAGCGAGGCGGCCGGGCUAGGUUGUCAUCCCAGAAAAGAAGAACUGGCGUGAGGUCCUUUUGUUCAGGCCAAGUUGUGCGUGAAAUCUUUUUGUGUCUUCUCAAAGGGAAGGGAAAAGUUGCAGUUGAUUUAAAAAAGGACAAAUUUAGCUCUCUGAGAGUGGAGCUGUUUUCAAGUUGCCCUGAGACACUAAGCGCGCGCAUCGCUCUUUUAAUUUAUUUUCUUAAAACGACCAUUUAUUUGCUCUGGAUAUAACAAUUUUGAUUAAAGAUUCAAUAUUGUUUAGGCAUUAAUGCAAAUACCUAGCACUUCCUCUCUCCAUGAAAAUGGGGAAGUUUUAAAAUCUUUUUGUGUAAUUUCAUUUGUUUAGCGCCC